rnacentral:rRNA from 1 species
UUGACUGUGCUAAGGUAGCAUAAUAAAUUGGCUUUUAAUUGAAGUCGGGAAUGAAAGGGUGUUUGGAGUUAUUCUGUCUUAUCUUUAUUUUUUAAAAAUUACUAAUGAGGUGAAAAUUCCUCAACAUUAUUUGAUAGACGAGAAGACCCUAAGAAUUAUUACAACUAUUAAAAAAUUAAUAAAAGUUUUUGUUGGGGCAACAGCUUUGAAAAUAAAUAACCAAAGCUAAAUUUAUUUUAAACAUAAAAAUUAUAUUAAAAAUGAAUUUAAUUACCUUAGGGAUAACAGCAUAAUUAUAAUAUAUUAGAUUGUGACCUCGAUGUUGGAUUAAGGCCU